GGCAAAUAAAGAAAAUGAACUGGCCUAUGCAGGCCACCUGCCUGAGAGAUUCUGACAUGAUAGUUGAAUAGAGCUGGUUAACUCCAGUGAUUCGGAUUACUCACAGACAGAAAGCCCAUCAUUAAAAUAGAUUGUUCUUUUCCCCUGAGGUUUCUCAGGCUCAUGAAAUGAUGACAAAAACAUUGUUCAGCAGGAAUUUAGGAUUGAAUGUAUGUUUACCUUUGCAGAGAAAAAGAAGUGUCUGUGAACUUGCAGCUCACUUGGUGAGGAUAGCAGAUCUUGGAUUUUGAUGGAUUGACUGCUUGCACUCACCAAUAGUUUACAGGAAGAAAAGUAAUAUAUCUCACUUGGCUGCUGAAUAAACUUAUUAUCUCAUGUAAAAUCCUUCAAAGCAAACUUGAGGAACAUGCAGUAGUUUAAACUGGCUUCAAGCCAUGAUUAAAAAAAAAAAAGUUGGUGGUCAGACUAUCAUCAAAACAAAUGAUAAAUUAUGGACAUAUUUCAGAUUUUAAAAUAACAAGUGGACCGUGGAGAUAGAAAAACCAUUUUACUUUGGUUUCAGGAUAUACUUACAGUACAGCUAAAGAUGUAAAUGUUUAUUUAUUUCAGUCGAAUUGAGCGAUUUCAUCUUUGAAAGAGUUAUUUGUUUACUCAAGACAAGCCAGAACUAUAUGAUUUCCAGGAAAAUGUCAUCCAAGAAUUGUGAACUUUGGAAGAAACUGAAACCACAUUUGUCUUUUAAAAGGCACUUAAUAAACUUACAAAUGAAAUGCUAAACAUUCUAUUUCACAUUAAAAUGAAAAAAUAUCCAAAAGAAGUAGCAUCCAAUUCAAUGAGGUGAACAUACAUGAUGAAGAUCAUUUGAUUCUGCUGCACUCAGGAUUUAUAUGGUUAUUUGAUAACAUUGUUUAAGAACUACUCGGUCUUAGUGCAAUCCUGUAUGUUGCUUAAAAAUAUAACUUGUAUUAUGUGAGAAAAUAAUUCAUAGCAUUACUAGGAACCAAAAAGAUCAAUCAUUAUUAAUUUUUUGAAGAUCAUAUUUUAUUAGAAAAUAGUAAAGCAUGUACAGCUAUUUUUGUUGUAGAAAAGAUUCUGAAAGUUUAGAAUUUCUUAAGAAAUAAUCAAUAUUAAAACAUUUUUGUCCACACUGAUACUGCGUAUGAAAAGUGCCUUAAUUAUUAGUAAGUCAAUUUAUUAAGACACCUGUAUCUAUUUUAAAAAUUAUAAAACAAACCAUGUAUCCAUCAUGAAAAAUAAUAGCAGUAAGUCAGAGAUUUACAAUCAUGUAGAAUGUUGUUGAAACUUAUUCCAUACCACUUUUAGAACUGCAGAAUAUUCUUAUUAUCUCUUUUUUUGCCAGAAUCGUCAUGUCAUGUAUGUAUAUUAUCCCUCUAUAAAAGAAAAAGAUGAAUGAAUAUUUGUAUGAAUACUUAAUAAAAAAUAAAUGUG
rnacentral:lncRNA from 1 species